AGAGUUUGAUUAUGGCUCAGAUUGAACGCUGGCGGCAUGCCUUACACAUGCAAGUCGAACGGUAACGCGGGGCAACCUGGCGACGAGUGGCGAACGGGUGAGUAAUAUAUCGGAACGUGCCCAGUAGUGGGGGAUAGCCCGGCGAAAGCCGGAUUAAUACCGCAUGAGACCUGAGGGUGAAAGCGGGGGAUCGCAAGACCUCGCGCUAUUGGAGCGGCCGAUAUCAGAUUAGGUAGUUGGUGGGGUAAAAGCCUACCAAGCCGACGAUCUGUAGCUGGUCUGAGAGGACGACCAGCCACACUGGGACUGAGACACGGCCCAGACUCCUACGGGAGGCAGCAGUGGGGAAUUUUGGACAAUGGGCGCAAGCCUGAUCCAGCCAUGCCGCGUGCGGGAAGAAGGCCUUCGGGUUGUAAACCGCUUUUGUCAGGGAAGAAAUCCUUUGGGUUAAUACCUCGGAGGGAUGACGGUACCUGAAGAAUAAGCACUGGCUAACUACGUGCCAGCAGCCGCGGUAAUACA
rnacentral:rRNA from 1 species